UUUUGACUCUACUGAGUUACUAGCAGGAGUGACCUCUGCUUGCACAACUCAGUAACUAUUAGACGCAAAAAUAGACAAAAAGACAGGAGUACAUGGAUCGACACCGAGUAGCAUCUCUAUACGAGGGUCAGCGACGAGACGUACUGGUAAUGAGCCUGCUCGCCGCGUUUGGGAUAAGAAAUACAGAUCGCUAGAGGAGAGCGCCGCUAUUCAAGAAGAUACUGGAAUAAUGCUUGCGAUGACCGACGCCUGUCCCGCCCCUGAAAUCGAGUACCUUGCACUGCUGCCCUUGUCAGAAGGAGUCUUUACGACCAUUAACUUGAUUUAGGGUAACACUUCCUAGAUUACCAAAAGAGACGAAAUCCUUGUUCUUCAUCCAGUUAUCCUUGAAGGACAUGACUCUUACUUAUAUCCACCUGUUUUCUUUGCCCCCGCCGCGUAUGCCGGCUAUGGCUUCAUCGGUCCCUCUUUAGUUCCCUGGGUAAUCUUCAAACUCCGUGAUUGCUCGGAUGACUGCCAGGGAGCAAUCGGGGGGAGUUCCCACCACCUCGAACAACCUUGCUCACCCACCUUCAUAUGUGUUGCUGAGAACCAUCAGCUGUAGAAAGCAAGAAAAUAUGAGUGAAGUCACAAACGUCACUAAGGAAAGGAAGAACAGAAAAAACCUCGAAUAUUCCAGAUGGGCAGCGUAGUUCAGCCACACAUCAAGCACUCCAAACGGUGGUAAGGGCAUGGAGGCACAUGCCUGUAGCCCUUCACACAGGCCGGACAUGCAGGAGGCGGUUUUUUUCAUUUUUUUCCCCGCUACCCACUGCCCCUGGGGGGCGGGAUUUUCUCCUCCUUCCUCAAGGGGGGGGUGUUUUGGCGUUUUUAUACUUUUACACCACAGGGCCUUUCCCCUCUUUUUCUCACUCCUCCAGCCCCAGUGCGCUUUCCCCGGUC
rnacentral:lncRNA from 1 species